UACGGAGGGUGCGAGCGUUAAUCGGAAUUACUGGGCGUAAAGGGCACGUAGGCGGUGAGAUAAGUCAGGUGUGAAAUGCCCGAGCUUAACUUGGGAACGGCAUUUGAAACUGUCGAGCUAGAGUCCUGUAUAGGGGGGUAGAAUUCCAGGAGUAGCGGUGAAAUGCGUAGAGUUCUGGAGGAAUACCGGUGGCGAAGGCGGCCCCCUGGACAGAGAGUGACGCUGAGGUGCGAAAGCGUGGGUAGCAAACAGG
rnacentral:rRNA from 1 species